rnacentral:misc_RNA from 1 species
GUAUGUAGCUUUGAAAAUGUUAGAAUCACUCUUUAUUAUUUCCCUUGGUGAAACAAAACACGCAUUCAAAUUUUCUACAACAUGCCAUCAAAUGGAACAUUAUGAUUAUGCAGCCACUGUCCACCCUUCUUUAGGCUUCUCCAUUUCAAUUUCAACAAAUAUUAUCCCACUAAAACCAUUAAAUAAAAAAAAUUAAAAAAUGAUAAUUUCAUUGGCAAAUUGCAAAUUUAUUUUUCGUACAUUACCACUUCCCAAUUUAUGUCCGAAGUCGCUGGUGCUGAUCAUGGCAAUGGCAGGGUCCACAUUAUACUACAGCCUCCACUGCAGUUGCCGUCCAAACACCAACUGCCAAUUGGUGGGUCGUACUGGUACUGCCUGAUAUACUUGAUGGCGAGUAAUAAAAUUACCCAAGCCAACAACCUGCAACUCUGAAGUCUGGUCCUCAACCAAAUCAUGAAUACAUGUGCAGUAUACAAUAUACAACAUUGGUGAGAAAUGAAGACACAUACCAAACUCCCGUUGUCUGCCUCAAAAAAAACCUAGUCAAUUCCUCAGUUUACCCUCAUUAUUUACUAACCUAUUACCAUUUGUAACCCCAAUCCUCUUGCUCCUUGAAUCUCUUCAAUACCCCAUCUAUGGCAAUAUCAAAGGCAUCUUUUAUACUCUCUAAGCCUUCGUAGCCUCUUGCAUACACAAAUCUGGGGAUAUAAUCAAUCACUUUUUCUCUCAUUUUCCUUACCUCUUCUUUGCUGUAAUUCUCAAGAACUUUCCGAAUGGAAGUCCCAUUUUUUACAUCAUUCCGGUGUAUAAAAACUGAAUAACUCUCCGGUUCGCCCGGUAAGAACCACUCGUAUUGGUAAUAAGCGGUUCGUUUCCAGAACAAAACCGGAAUUGAACCCGCUAUCAUGCAAUCGAAUAUGGACUUGCGGGUGAAACUAUCGCCUCUCGGCUGCAGACAAAAAUUCGAAUCCAAAAACGUUUCGAGAAUCACAGAGGUGCCGUUGGAGCAUUGACUCCCAGAGCAAUCCACGACUCGGCACGUGUCAGACUCAUUCUCGCAAUGGCUUAGCAACAGACCUCUAAAAUCGUUCUUCAUAGCGCCACGUUUAGCGCCGGCGAAGCAGAAGAGCUUCGUACGGUUUUGCAUACGGACGAACUCCUGCCACUGCAGGAUAUCAGCGUCCGAUCUGGGGUGGAAUCCGGUGGGGUAGGGCACACCAACGUCGAAAUAGUCCCACGGAUUUCGCUCAAUCAAUAGGCGGGUAAUGUUUCUCAUACCUGGCAUGUAAAUGCAGCUCGAACCCCAGUCCUCAUCUUUCGACCGUCGAAAAUCCCACGAGAUACGCCCCAUGGUGAUGAAGUGAUCCCAGCCGUUUGAUUUCUUGUAGUAUGGCUGAUCUCGGACCCACGUCAGCAACAUCUCGCAGUGCCGAUCACGGUCUUUGGCAGUGUAAUUAUACCACAAGAACUUGCCUACGGCAAGUCCUGCAUAAAACGGAAUGUAAAACGCUGUCGCAUUGUUUGGUUCGGUAGUCCUGCACUUGUGCUUCAAAAUCCGAUUGUGGAAGAUAAUCUCCGAGACGAAUUGGUCGGUCCAGUACCAGGCGGGAGCGAGAUUUUUCGGAACAAGCGCAAAAAUCUCUGUGGCUUUCUGGCCAAAACCGUCAUUCGCCAACGCAUCACACCUGGUACUCCAUGGGUUUAACUCAUCGCAAUUUCUAAUCAAUUCAGUGUUGAACCUGCUGGGAAGAUCGUAGACAAAGAUCCUUCCUGAUCUACAUUCAUCAUCAUGAUCAGUUGUUAUUCUAGGGUGGCUGAUAUCGAUAAUGGUGUUAGUGGGAAUGCUGACACGGUGGUGAGCAGUGUACGGAGAGGGAAAAUGGUGGCGGCGGUAGUUAAAAGAGAGAAGAAUUGAGCGGAGACCAAUGAGGAGAAUGAUCUGGAAGGAGAAGAUGGAGAGGAGGAGCCAUACGCGGGAUUGAGUAAAAUAGGAAUGCGCAAGGAGAGAAUUAAGCGAGUUAAACGAGCUCUUGCGAGGAAGGACGUCGCCCGGUGGGAUUUUGGGUCUUCUGCUGUGGGGUUCGGAUGAGGACUGACUAGAGAUGGAAAUCAUUAGAGAGAAUUUUCCGGCGAUGGUGAGCAGCGGGUAAAGUAGGGCGUUUAUUGCUACUGCUCUGUGCUUUGAGCUUUUUGGAGGCUUUUGUACUAACAGACGCAGUGGAGGGUUAAAAGGUAGGAGAUAGUAGAGACACGUGAAGGGCUAGCACGUGUACGAUUAGAUUAUCAACUGCUUACGCAACCGACAAGGAAUUCAGUCGUAUUAAACUGGCUCUAUCAUUGCGGUGAAAGGGCAACUGUGAAAAUCUAGGUAUUUAAUCAAUGAGUAUUUUUUCUAAUGAACAGAAAGGGAACCUGUUAAUGGAAAUUUCAUUUUCACCGCAAUGAAUUACGACACUUAUUA